ACCUGGCAAGUCGAAGCGAAUGGAAUUAAGAGCUUGCUCUUAUGAAGUUAGCGGCGGACGGGUGAGUAACACGUGGGGUAACCUGCCCAUAAGACUGGGAUAACUCCGGGAAACCGGGGCUAAUACCGGAUAACAUUUUGAACCGCAUGGUUUGAAAUUGAAAGGCCGCUUCCGCUGGCACUUAUGGAUGGACCCGCCUCCCAUUAGCUAGUUGGUGAAGUAACCGCUCACCAAGGGAACGAUGCGUAGCCGACCUGAGAGGGUGAUCGGCCACACUGGGACUGAGACACGGCCCAGACUCCUACGGGAGGCAGCAGUAGGGAAUCUUCCGCAAUGGACGAAAGUCUGACGGAGCAACGCCGCGUGAGUGAUGAAGGCUUUCGGGUCGUAAAACUCUGUUGUUAGGGAAGAACAAGUGCUAGUUGAAUAAGCUGGCACCUUGACGGUACCUAACCAGAAAGCCACGGCUAACUACGUGCCAGCAGCCGCGGUAAUACGUAGGUGGCAAGCGUUAUCCGGAAUUAUUGCGCGUAUAGCGCGCGCACUGGUUUCUUAAGUCUGAUGUGAAAGCCCACGGCUCACCCGUGGAGGGUCUUUGAAACUGGGAGACUUGACUGCAGAGGAGGAAAGCGGAAUUCCAUGUGUAGCGGUGAAUGCGGAAGAAAUGAAGGAGCACCAUAGCCGAGGGCACCUUCCGGUUUGAACCGAACUGAGGGCCAAAACCUGGGGGCCCCCCCGGUUUGGUGCUCGGUAUUCCCCCCCGAAAUCAAGGAUGGCAAAGGGAAAACGGUUUCCCCCCUUUAAGGGAAGAUUAAACGUUUAAAGCCCCCCCCGGGGAAAACCGCGGCCUUCCAACCCAAAAAAAAACGCCGGGCCCCC
rnacentral:rRNA from 1 species